rnacentral:rRNA from 1 species
GGGUGAGUAACGCGUGGGUAACCUGCCCCAUACCGGGGGAUACCACCUGGAAACAGGUGCUAAUACCGCAUAAGCGCACGGAAGCGCAUGCUCCUGUGUGAAAAACUCCGGUGGUAUGGGAUGGACCCGCGUCUGAUUAGCCAGUUGGCAGGGUAACGGCCUACCAAAGCGACGAUCAGUAGCCGGCCUGAGAGGGUGGACGGCCACAUUGGGACUGAGACACGGCCCAAACUCCUACGGGAGGCAGCAGUGGGGAAUAUUGCACAAUGGGGGAAACCCUGAUGCAGCGACGCCGCGUGAGUGAAGAAGUAUUUCGGUAUGUAAAGCUCUAUCAGCAGGAACGAGACAAGACGGUACCUGACUAAGAAGCCCCGGCUAACUACGUGCCAGCAGCCGCGGUAAUACGUAGGGGGCAAGCGUUAUCCGGAAUCACUGGGUGUAAAGGGAGCGUAGACGGCUGAGCAAGCCUGAAGUGAAAGGCGGGGGCCCAACCCCUGGACUGCUUUGGGAACUGUACGGCUGGAGUGCAGGAGAGGUAAGUGGAAUUCCUAGUGUGGCGGUGAAAUGCGUAGAUAUUAGGAGGAACACCAGUGGCGAAGGCGGCUUACUGGACUGUAACUGACGUUGAGGCUCGAAAGCGUGGGGAGCAAACAGGAUUAGAUACCCUGGUAGUCCACGCCGUAA